rnacentral:lncRNA from 9 species
GCGCAGCGGAAAUGAAUCCAGCCAGGAACCAUGAGGUUUUGGGAUUUGAUCCCUGGCCUCGCUCAGUGGGUUAAGGAUCUGGAGUUGCUGUGAGCUGUGGUGUAGGUUGCAGACGUGGCUUGGAUCCCAUGUUGCUGUGUCUGGCAUAGGCUGGUGACUGCAGCUCCGAUUUGAGCCCUAGCCUGGGAACCUCCAUAUGCUGUGGGUACAGCCCUAAAAAGCAAAAACAAACAAACAAACAAAAAAGCUACUGUGCAGACACCUCUGCCUUUGUGCUAUUCCAGGGGAAACCUCCACUCACUGUGAACACGUUUAAAAGAUAUAAUCAGGGGAGCCAAGAUGGAAAUGGGCAAAAUGGUGCUCUCUGCAGAUGGUUCAGGCACACCACCGCC